rnacentral:rRNA from 1 species
GGAGUUUGGUCCGUGUCUCAGUACCAAUGUGGGGGACCUUCCUCUCAGAACCCCUACUGAUCGUCGGCAUGGUGGGCCGUUACCCCGCCAUCAACCUAAUCAGACGCAUCCCCAUCCCCUAGCGAUAAAUCUUUGCUUCAUUUCAGAUGUCCUCUACGAAGAACAUAGGGUAUUAAUCCGACUUUCGCCGGGCUAUGCCCUACUGGGGGAAGGUUGGAUACGCGUUACUCACCCGUGCGCCGGUCGCCAUCAGAAGUUGCAAGCAACUCCCAUGAUGCCCCUCGACUUGCAUGUGUUAAGCCUGUAGCUAGCGUUCAUC